rnacentral:rRNA from 1 species
AUGAACGCUGGCGGCGUGCUUAACACAUGCAAGUCGAGCGAGAAGUUUUGAAAAGAUUCUUCGGAUGAAAUUUAAAAUGGAAAGCGGCGGACGGGUGAGUAACGCGUAGGCAACCUGCCCCAUACAAAGGGAUAGCAUUUGGAAACGAAUAUUAAUACCUUAUGAAACUUAACUAGUGCAUGCUAGGUAGGUCAAAGAUUUAUCGGUAUGGGAUGGGCCUGCGUCUGAUUAGCUAGUUGGUGAGGUAACGGCUCACCAAGGCGACGAUCAGUAGCCGACCUGAGAGGGUGAACGGCCACAUUGGAACUGAGGCACGGUCCAAACUCCUACGGGAGGCAGCAGUGGGGAAUAUUGCACAAUGGGGGAAACCCUGAUGCAGCAACGCCGCGUGAACGAUGAAGGCCUUUGGGUCGUAAAGUUCUGUUCUAGGUGAUGAAAACUGACAGUAACCUAGGAGAAAGCCCCGGCUAACUCCGUG